CACGGAAUUAGCCGGUCCUUUUUCUGACGGUACAUACAAUACGGGGUUCACGAACCCCCUUUUAUUCCCGACUAAAAGCAGUUUACAACCACGAGGGCCGUCAUCCUGCACGCUACUUGGCUGGUUCAGCCUCCCGGCCAUUGACCAAUAUUCCUCACUGCUGCCUCCCGUAGGAGUCUGGACCGUGUCUCAGUUCCAGUGUGGGGGACCUUCCUCUCAGAACCCCUACCCAUCGUAGGUUAGGUGGGCCGUUACCCCGCCUACUGCCUAAUGGGACGCAUCGCCAUCCGUUACCAAUAAAUCUUUCAUGAAUCCACCAUGCGGAAAAUUCAUCGCAUCGGGUAUUAAUCUUACUUUCGCAAGGCUAUCCCCGAGUAACGGGCAGGUUCGAUACGCGUUACGCACCCGUGCGCCGGUCGCCAUCAGGGUCAGCAAGCUGACCCCAUGAUGCCCCUCGACUUGCAUGUGUUAAGCCUGUAGCUAGCGUUCAUCCUGAGCCAGGAUCAAACUCU
rnacentral:rRNA from 1 species